rnacentral:rRNA from 1 species
CCUACGGGAGGCAGCAGUGAGGAAUAUUGGUCAAUGGACGCAAGUCUGAACCAGCCAUGCCGCGUGCAGGAAGACGGCUCUCUGAGUUGUAAACUGCUUUUGUACGGGGGUAAACGGCGAUUCGUGUACCUCUCUUAGUGUAUCCUACGAGUAAAGGUCGGCUAACUCCGUGCCACCAGCCGCGGUAUUACGGAGGAGUCACGCGUUAUCCGGAUUUAUUGGGUUUAAAGGGUGCGUGGGCGGGCGGUUAAGUUAGAGGUGAAAUCCCGAGGCUCACCUUCGGAAUUGCCGCUGAUACUGGCAGGCUAGAGAGUAGAUGCGGUAGGCGGAAUGUAUGGUGUAGCGGUGAAAUGCUUAGAGAUCAUACAGAACACCGAUUGCGAAGGCAGCUUACCAAGCUACGUCUGACGUUGAGGCACGAAAGCGUGGGGAGCAAACAGGAUUAGAUACCCCUGUAGUC